rnacentral:sRNA from 1 species
ACCUUCUAAUACCAUCACGUUGGUGAUUUGCUUGGAACAUAAGAAUUUUGCAAGAGACACAAAGAUUCAGACAAUAGAAGACAUUGUCUUGCCUUCAAGCUAUUUUUAUGAUUCCCACAAAUCCACCACCAACAUUCAGAAAGCCAGAACUUUGGUCCGAUGAUUUCACCGAUUUUGUUAAAAAGUGUUUGGUGAAGAAUCCUGAGCAGAGAGCUACUGCAACACAACUUUUACAGCAUUUAUCCUUUGACUUUUUGCUCCACUAUAAAAUACGUAAGUACAAGAUCCCUGGACUCCUUGAAGAGAUUAUCACGUUGUAAAUAUCAGUUACAGGAUUAUCUAAAUGAAGAGCUUCAGAGUUUCAAUUGUUUUUUGAUAGAAUAAUUUUGCACUUCUAGGAAUUUAUUCUACAAAAAUAUUUAACCAUGUGUGAAAUAACAUAUGUGUAAAAAUAUUCGUAGAACAUUGAAAUUGUAAAAGAUUGGGAAGAUCCUAAAUAUCUGUCAACAAGUUGGAAACAAUUUAAAGUCCAAG